rnacentral:rRNA from 1 species
CACGUAGGGCGCGAGCGUUGUCCGGAAUUAUUGGGCGUAAAGAGCUCGUAGGCGGCCUGUUGCGUCCGCUGUGAAAGCCCGGGGCUUAACCCCCGGGUCGGCAGUGGAUACGGGCAGGCUAGAGGUAGGUAGGGGAGAAUGGAAUUCCCGGUGUAGCGGUGAAAUUCGUAGAUAUCGGGAGGAACACCAGUGGCGAAGGCGGCGAUCUGGGAAGAUACUGACGCUGAGGUGCGAAAGCGUGGGGAGCAAACAGG